GACAGAGGGGGCAAGCGUUGCUCGGAAUCACUGGGCGUAAAGGGCGCGUAGACGGGAUGGCAAGUCAGUCGUGAAAUCUCUCGGCUCAACCGAGAAACGUCGGCUGAUACUGCCGUUCUUGAGGGAUGCAGAGGAGACUGGAAUUCCCGGUGUAGCGGUGAAAUGUGUAGAGAUCGGGAGGAACACCGGUGGCGAAGGCGGGUCUCUGGGCAUUUCCUGACGCUGAGGCGCGAAAGCGUGGGGAGCAAACGGG
rnacentral:rRNA from 1 species